rnacentral:rRNA from 1 species
GACGAACGCUGGCGGCGCGCUUAACACAUGCAAGUCGAACGGAAAGGCCUGCUUUCCCUUGUGGAUUGCGGGUACUCGAGUGGCGAACGGGUGAGUAACACGUGAGUGAUCUGCCCCCAACUUGGGUAUAAGCCUGGGAAACUGGGUCUAAUUCCCGAUAGGACUGCAGGGUGGUGCCUGUGGUGGAAAACGAUUUUCUAGUGGUUGGGGAUGAGCUCGCGGCCUAUCAGCUUGUUGGUGGGGUAAUGGCCUACCAAGGCGGCGACGGGUAGCCGGCCUGAGAGGGUGGACGGCCACAUUGGGACUGAGAUACGGCCCAGACUCCUACGGGAGGCAGCAGUGGGGAAUAUUGCACAAUGGGCGGAAGCCUGAUGCAGCGACGCCGCGUGGGGGAUGACGGCCUUCGGGUUGUAAACUCCUUUCGACCGCGAGGAAGCCACCUGGUUGGAAGGGUGGUGACGGCAGUGGUAGAAGAAGCACCGGCUAACUACGUG